rnacentral:rRNA from 1 species
UAUGGUUUCCAGAGAUGGAUUCCUUCAGUUAGGCUGGCCGGAACACAGGUGCUGCAUGGCUGUCGUCAGCUCGUGUCGUGAGAUGUUGGGUUAAGUCCCGCAACGAGCGCAACCCUCGCCCUUAGUUGCCAUCAUUUAGUUGGGCACUCUAGGGGGACUGCCGGUGAUAAGCCGAGAGGAAGGUGGGGAUGACGUCAAGUCCUCAUGGCCCUUACGGGCUGGGCUACACACGUGCUACAAUGGCGGUGACAGUGGGAUGCUAAGGGGCGACCCCUCGCAAAUCUCAAAAAGCCGUCUCAGUUCGGAUUGCGCUCUGCAACUCGAGCGCAUGAAGGUGGAAUCGCUAGUAAUCGUAGAUCAGAACGCUACGGUGAAUACGUUCCCGGGCCUUGUACACACCGCCCGUCACACCAUGGGAGUUGGUUCUACCCGAAGGCGUUUUGCUAACCGCAAGGGGGCAGACGACCACGGUAGGGUCAGCGACUGGGGUGAAGUCGUAACAAGGUAAGCGUAGUGCU